UACAGAGGUCUCAAGCGUUAAUCGGAAUUACUGGGCUUAAAGGGUCCGCAGGCGGUCCGACAAGUACCUUGUGAAAUAUCAGGUCUCAACCCUGAAAUUGCUGGGUAGACUGUCGGACUUGAGUGCAAAAGGGGUCGCUGGAACUCUAGGUGGAGCGGUGAAAUGCGUAGAUAUCUAGAGGAACGCCAAAGGUGAAGACAGGCGACUGGUUUGCAACUGACGCUCAUGGACGAAAGCGUGGGGAUCAAACGGG
rnacentral:rRNA from 1 species